rnacentral:rRNA from 1 species
GACAGAGGGGGCAAGCGUUGUUCGGAAUCACUGGGCGUAAAGGGCGCGUAGGCGGGUUGGCAAGUCAGUCGUGAAAUCUCUCGGCUCAACCGAGAAACGUCGGCUGAUACUGCCGUUCUUGAGGGAUGCAGAGGAGACUGGAAUUCCCGGCGUAGCGGUGAAAUGUGUAGAGAUCGGGAGGAACACCGGUGGCGAAGGCGGCGUCCUGGCCCAUUUCUGACGUUCAGACAUGACAGCAUGGGGAGCGAACGGG